UCCGGUUUGUCACCGGCAGUCUCCUUAGAGUGCCCACCAUUACGUGCAUGGAUCCCGAAGGAGGCCCCUGGUUUCUCAGGAGUUUCCCAUGCAUGUCAAGCCUAGGUAAGGUUCUUCGCGUUGCGUCGAAUUAAACCACAUGCUCCACCGCUUGUGCGGGCCCCCGUCAAUUCCUUUGAGUUUUAGCCUUGCGGCCGUACUCCCCAGGCGGGGUGCUUAAUGCGUUAGCUGCGGCACGGGGGGAGUCGACACCCCCCACACCUAGCACCCAUCGUUUACGGCGUGGACUAC
rnacentral:misc_RNA from 1 species